CUAAUUCCUUUGUUCCUUUUGAUUCAACAACACUCCUCUGUCACCAUUUUCGAAACCCUAGCGCCGCAUACCCAUAUUCUUCAAAAAUCCUUUCUUCCCUGCAUCAUCUCUUCAUCUUCUUCGGUUUAUCUGGCGAUUCUCUAUCUUCGCUGCAUCAUCUCUUCAUCUUCUUCGGUUUAUCACUUCUGUUAUGAAGGUGUGUUUGAGAUUGAAUCUUAAUUGAAAAGGGUAUAAAUAUUUUACAUUUGGUUGGUUGUUGAAAACAAGGAGCUAACGGAAAAGAUCAAGAUCAAAUACCAAGGGAACAAGGGAAAUUAUGUUAUUUAUUAGAAAACAUAAAAAUAUAAAGGCUUGUGGGAAGACCGAUUACCAGUGGAGCUUUUCUCUGCUGAUGGUGUAGAUUAUCACAAAACUUGCUUCAAGUGCAGCCAUUGCAAAGCAAGCCAUGCUGUAACUAUUGGGACAUGUGGCAGCCCAACAUGGUGAUCAGUCUAACCCAAAAUACUGGCACUCUCGGAGCUGCACAGGGUCAGUUUUUACGAAACAUGUGAUGUUUUUUUUAUUUGGUUAUUUACCGAUUUACUGUGAAUGUAUGAGAAAAUGGUUAAAACGUAUAUACUUGGUUUGAUGUUUUGUUAUCGAGGUGGUAAAAAUGGUAGCGCGAGUACUAAUGCAAGCACUCCAAUCCAAGCAUGGGUACAAGGAUCUAUUGCGGUGUAUUUUCAAUGAAAGCAAGCAAUCCUGUGAUUAUGGUUCAAGCAUAUCGUCUUCUUGUAGCUGAAAUGUAUGUUCGGGGUUGGGACUAUCCUUUGCAUUUGGGAGUCACCGAAGCUGGUGAGGGUGAAGAUGGACGUAUGAAAUCCGCAAUCGGUAUCGGGACACUUCUUCAGGAUGGUCUUGGUGAUACUAUAAGAGUUUCGAUUACCGAACCUCCAGAGGAAGAAAUAGACCCGUGUAGGAAAUUAGCCAAUCUUGGUAUGGAAGCAUCCCAAAUUUCACGUAUGUACCCACUACCAAUGAAGUUCAUUGCCCACAUGUGAAGCUGUAGUGGCGCGGGUUCGACCCUUGUGGUGCCCAGAUCAUGUGGAUGGUGUGCAGAGGUAAUUUGCCGGCAUCAUAACCCUUGUGGGGUGGGAUGAUGGGUAUCCUAUGGGGUAACAGGGACAAGGUUCCUUCCUUAACCCUUUUUUUGGAUUAGGAGUUGGGUUCUUUUGCAGUUUGCAUUAGGUUCCUUGCUGAUUUGGUAAAGACGGGUCGCAUGGGUUGAUCAAAAGUCAUGUUGUCUAUAACUGUUACUACAACCAAAAGGCCAAGGGAAGCUUAUGUGUGUGGCAGAAGAUCCCUUUGUAGAUCAGUGAUCGAAAAGGGGUUGCAUAUAACCUACUGUAGCUUAGCAUUUUUUCAACAAAAGGAUCUCACAAGAAGUUAAUGGAGAUGCUCUUGGGGAGGUAAAGAGCUAGAGAUAAAGGUGUAUUGAUUACAAGAUAGGUGUGUAUUUAUAUAUAUGAGUAAUGAGUUCCAGAGGAAGGCCAUUAUUUGAUCUCAAUGAGCUUGCUACUGAGGAGGAUGAGGAGAGUGAUGGUGUGUUCUGUUUCCAUCCUCAAAGGGCUAUUCCGUCCACUACGCAUACUUCGAAUUUGUUUAACCCGUCAAAUAGUCUGCGUAGGAUAAUAAACAACCAUGUCUUUUCUCAUGCGCCUUCGCUUUCGGGCUUUCAGCAUUUUAUUCGUUCAAAAAGAGUACAGGCAUCUGAAACGGAUGAGGACCAGAAGAAGGGAAUUGGUAUAUGGUCUGUGUUUGAAAAAGAAGGUGAAUGGUCUGAUGCAGAUGGCAGUGGUAUGCCUGAAAAGUCAACUUCUGUCUCUGAUGAUGAUAAGUCAGGUGAAACCAAUGGAAGGUAUCAUCUUAGAAUUAGUUUUUGAAGUGUUUGAUUGUUUAAAUUCUAUUUUAUUUUAUUUUCUUUAUAUAUCUUCAUAUAGGUAAACAUAUUUGAGCAUGAUAAAUGUGUGAAAAAGCUUUAAGGAGGAAAAUAUGUGAUGCUUUAAUCCAUGAAUCUCUACAUGUUUUUUUAUAUAUCUUGAUGUGUUCGUUCGUUUAUUCACUUAUUAUGAGUAUCGUAUUGUUGUGUUAGUGUUUAAAUAUUUGUACUUUAACUAAUUUUUCAUUUUUUUAUUAACCAGUAAAUAUUUAAUACAAAGUAAAUUAUAAACACAAACCAUAAGCAGCCCAAUAAGUUUAUAAUCGUGCCUAUAACUUCACAACUCGUGAUUAACUUUGUGAAAAGUUUAUAACUCUUCUUAUAGCGAAGACAUUAAUUUGUCAUGUUUUUUGUAUGAUCUUAAGUGUGUAUUAAUUAUUAAUAAUAAUUAACCUAAAUAAUUUUCUCCAGCCCGGGAAGCAUUUCCCGGGUGAUAACCUAGUAUAACAUAAUUUCACUAACUUAUAUAACUUAUCCCUCUAGAUCUAGAUAUAACCUAUCCCUCUAGAUCUAGAAUUAAUCUAGAGUAACAUAGAAUUGUGUAAAUAUGGUAUCAAAGCUAGGUUAUAAACUGUCGAAGAACAAGAAACUAAAAAUACGACACAAGUUUUUCUUAAAAAAGAUCGUUCUAGUAUCAUGUUUUUAGUGGAGGCACAAUUGUCAAGGGCAUAUUCUCUUCUUAGAGCCUCUCCAGUAAGCUAUUUUUUUCAUGUUUUUAUAUGUCUACUAGGUGUAGUACCCGUGUAACCAUACAGGUAGGUUUAGUAAUGAUCGAAAUCAAAUACUAAAAAACAGAUUAUAAUAUAUCAUUUAAAUUUUGGUCUUUAUUUCUAUAUUUUUAUAAAGUAAUGUUGAAGACAGUAUGUGUGACCACACAGAUAGUUUUAAUAACCAUCGAAAUAGAUUAUAAUACAUCAUUUAAAUUGUUUGUAUUUAGUUCAUGUUUGAUAUAGAAAUUAGCUAACUAAAAAUUUCUUGUCUAAACUGAAAGCAUGACCUAAUUUUAUAUUGUCUAAUAAUUAAAACCUGACCUAAUUCAAAUAACCAAAUGUUAUUAUACAGUUCAAUAAAGCCCCUUAUAUUUGAUCCAAUUAAGCUUACUAAUGGAUUAGAUUUUGUAGGCCCGUUAAAACCCUUCUAUCAAAUAUGGAUUAGAUUUGCUAAAGACAUGUAUGAAAUGUCCUUAAUACCCUUAUCCCUUAAUAUCCCUUAAUAUUCCUUAAUACCCUUAUCCCUUAAUACCCGUAACAUAGGCAGAUUUACAUCAGAUUAUAAUAUAUCAUUUAAAUUUUGGUCUUUAGUUCUAUUUAUACUAUAUUAGACCAUAUUUUAUAGAUAAGUAUUAUUUUAGUUUAAUCUUUUCUAAUUAAUUUAUAUAUAAUCCUCCUACUAAAUAUUAUUUAGUUUAAUUUUUUGUGGAUAAUUAACUUUUAGUUUAAUCUCCUUGUCAUCAUCACACUUCCCCAAAAAUGCAACUUGACUGUUAUAAGUUGUAUGAAAUGACUAACAUCAUCACCGAUCAUUAAAAUCAUCACACUUCUCCAAAAAUCUUCAAAUAUCUCUCUCAACUCUCAACAGUCAACACAGAUCUUCAUCAUCUUCAUCCAGCUUCAUCAUCUUCAUCCAUCUUCAUCUUGAAAACAGAGAAUGGCUGUGGAUGUAAAGAUACGCAAAACACUAACUACGAAGGCGAGAACACUUGACAACCUCCUAGAAGAUAGUACGGUGCACAUAAGGAAGUGAUUGAUCAAAACGAUCAAUUGCAUAUGAAUGAAUACAACCCCAGUGGUAGAUAUGUAAUUAGCGAGCUCUGGAAUUUCAAGGAAAAUCUAAGAGCUACACUGGCGUUAUAUUCAUUCAUAUGAAUCAAUAUAACCCAAGUUGCAGAUAUGUAAUUAGGUACACUGGGGUUAUAUUCAUUCAUAUCUGCUACAUUCCGAAGUGCACCGUCAGUAAAGAUCCACAAUUGCUUGUGGUGGUAUGACGUUUUGUCUCUGUAUUGUAUGUUACAGUCUUUUGUUAUCUAGUCUGUAAGUUCCGUCAAGUCUACGAAGUUGGUAUGACGUUUUGUC